rnacentral:lncRNA from 1 species
GAACGUUUGGACGUACCCCCGGAGACACGCGGGCUUCGGUUUCUCUUUUUGUCCUUUUUUGUGCGUGUGUUUUGCAACUGUGUGGUGUUCAGUCAGAGAAGAUGACCCAUCGCUGCAAGCAAACUAGCCCAGUACUAAACAUAACGAAAUUCCCACACGGAAAACGGAAACGAUCUUAAAGCAAUCAAUUUUCAAUCGCCCAACUCU